rnacentral:tRNA from 1 species
CCCCGCCUGGGACCUGGCCCGUCCGGCGGCCUGGUUCGCCGCCGGGCUGCUCCCGGGGGAGGCGUGGUCGCGGUUCCUCGGCGCGUACGAGGCC